ensembl:snRNA U1 U1 spliceosomal RNA
AUACCAACCUGACAGAGGAGAUACCAUGAUCAUGAAGAUGGUUUUCCCAGGGUAAGGCUUAUCCAUCUCACUUCUGCGAUUUCCCCAAAUGUGGGAAACUUGACUGCACAUUUUUUGAUAGUGGAGGACUGUGAUCACAUUUUCCCCUA